UUCUUGGUCAUUUAGAGGAAGUAAAAGUCGUAACAAGGUUUCCGUAGGUGAACCUGCGGAAGGAUCAUUAAAGAAAUUUAAUAAUUUUGAAAAUGGAUUUUUUUGUUUUGGCAAGAGCAUGAGAGCUUUUACUGGGCAAGAAGACAAGAGAUGGAGAGUCCAGCCGGGCCUGCGCUUAAGUGCGCGGUCUUGCUAGGCUUGUAAGUUUCUUUCUUGCUAUUCCAAACGGUGAGAGAUUUCUGUGCUUUUGUUAUAGGACAAUUAAAACCGUUUCAAUACAACACACUGUGGAGUUUUCAUAUCUCUGCAACUUUUUCUUUGGGCAUUCGAGCAAUCGGGGCCCAGAGGUAACAAACACAAACAAUUUUAUCUAUUCAUUAAAUUUUUGUCAAAAACAAGAAUUUUCGUAACUGGAAAUUUUAAAAUAUUAAAAACUUUCAACAACGGAUCUCUUGGUUCUCGCAUCGAUGAAGAACGCAGCGAAAUGCGAUACGUAAUGUGAAUUGCAGAAUUCCGUGAAUCAUCGAAUCUUUGAACGCACAUUGCGCCCCUUGGUAUUCCAGGGGGCAUGCCUGUUUGAGCGUCAUUUCCUUCUCAAACAUUCUGUUUGGUAGUGAGUGAUACUCUUUGGAGUUAACUUGAAAUUGCUGGCCUUUUCAUUGUAUGUUUUUUUUCCAAAGAGAGGUUUCUCUGCGUGCUUGAGGUAUAAUGCAAGUACGGUCGUUUUAGGUUUUACCAACUGCGGCUAAUCUUUUUUUAUACUGAGCGUAUUGGAACGUUAUCGAUAAGAAGAGAGCGUCUAGGCGAACAAUGUUCUUAAAGUUUGACCUCAAAUCAGGUAGGAGUACCCGCUGAACUUAAGCAUAUCAAUAAGCGGAGGAA
rnacentral:rRNA from 1 species